AUUGAACGCUGGCGGCAGGCCUAACACAUGCAAGUCGAGCGAGCGGCGGACGGGUGAGUAUUGUAUGGGGACUGCCCGAUAGAGGGGGAUAACUCCUGGAAAAGGUGGCUAUUAUCGCACACUGUCGGAUAACCCAUAUGGGAUGAGCUAGUAGGUAUGGUAAUGGAUUGCCCAGGCGACGAUACCUAGCUGUUCUGAGAGGAUGUUCAGCCACACUGGGACUGAGACACGGCCCAGACUCCUACGGAGGCAGCAGUGGGGAAUAUUGCACAAUGGGCGCAAGCCUGAUGCAGCCAUGCCGCGUGUAUGAAGAAGGCCCUAGGGUUGUAAAGUACUUUCAGUCGGGAGGCGUUACCGACAGAAGAAGCACCGGCUAACUCCGUGCCAGCAGCCGCGGUAAUAC
rnacentral:rRNA from 1 species